rnacentral:lncRNA from 1 species
CACAGAUACUUGUGUCAUCCUUAUUUGUGCAGACUUUGUGACUUUUCCAGAGUUCAUCUGGUUGACAAAUGGAUGUAAAUGCCUUUUGGACUGAAGGAAGGCAUACAGAAGUCACGUACGAAUCUUGGCUGGGUGAUAAACAGAAGCCGACCUUCAGAGAAUUUCUGUGCAAAUCCAAGUGGAGGAGAAAGAAGACGAUACUGAGGAAAGUUCAAGCGAAGAGGAAGAGGAGGAACACAAACUACCCCGAAGAGAGAGCAUGAGGCCAAAGAGGAAACGGACCAGAGAUGUUAUCAAUGAAGAUGAUCCAGAGCCUGAACCAGAAGAUGAAGAAACAAGGAAGGCCAGAGAGAAAGAGAGAAGGAGGAGAUUAAAGAGAGGAGCGUGAGUUAGUUUUGAUCUAUAAUUGACAUUAUUUUUCAUUCAAAAGUGCCUGAUGCUGAAAGAUCACCCUAGCCUUAAAAUUGGUAAUUAAAACU